UGGGGAAUUUUGGACAAUGGGCGAAAGCCUGAUCCAGCAAUGCCGCGUGUGUGAAGAAGGCCUUCGGGUUGUAAAGCACUUUUGUCCGGAAAGAAAUCCUUGGCUCUAAUACAGUCGGGGGAUGACGGUACCGGAAGAAUAAGCACCGGCUAACUACGUGCCAGCAGCCGCGGUAAUACGUAGGGUGCAAGCGUUAAUCGGAAUUACUGGGCGUAAAGCGUGCGCAGGCGGUUUGCUAAGACCGAUGUGAAAUCCCCGGGCUCAACCUGGGAACUGCAUUGGUGACUGGCAGGCUAGAGUAUGGCAGAGGGGGGUAGAAUUCCACGUGUAGCAGUGAAAUGCGUAGAGAUGUGGAGGAAUACCGAUGGCGAAGGCAGCCCCCUGGGCCAAUACUGACGCUCAUGCACGAAAGCGUGGGGGAGCAAACAGGAUUAGAUACCCUGGUAGUCCACGCCCUAAACGAUGUCAACUAGUUGUUGGGGAUUCAUUUCCUUAGUAACGUAGCUAACGCGUGAAGUUGACCGCCUGGGGGAGUACGGUCGCAAGAUUAAAA
rnacentral:rRNA from 1 species